rnacentral:lncRNA from 1 species
UACCCAACAGAUACCAAAAUGAUCCUGAGCUCUGAAGUUCUGACCUCAGAAAUGUGUUUGCACAGCAUAGAUGCAUUAGAUCCUGUUCAGCAAUAGAACUGGAGAAAUACCACAGAAAAGCAGAUGUAACGAGCCCACCAGACAGUAACAAGUGCAAACUUCCUUCCAAGUUCCUAGUUGAGUACAGUAAAAAACACUUCCAAACAUUUCUACUUGAUGGAACGGAAGGAGAAUUAGCAAGUAUUUCCAUCUUACAUGACCUCUGAAGAAAUGCUGAAGGAGGCUGACAGGAAAGAGGGGAUCAAGCUGGCUCUUCAAAUGCCUAAAGAAGAAAAUAAGGCCGGGCAAGACAUAUGAAGGGACGUUAUUCUAU